UGUUAGCCAGUAGGCGGUGGCCGCCUUAGAGCGAGGAACAUCUCGAGCAUACACUGAUCUCGAUGCUGUCUCAAGGUGUUUUGCAGAGUUGUUUAUGGACGCUUUUGCUUUGACAGUUAAACCCUCUGACAGAGAGAUGUUGCUGAAAUGCUUAAUGAUAACGUGGAAGACGUUGCCCAACGAUCACCACGAAAUUUCAAUGUAGCGGCAAGUGGGCAAGGAAUAAAACAAAUGCUGCAAACUACCGCGAGCCACGGAAGAGCCUGGGCCGCAAGGGUGUCGAGCUUCCUAGGUCGUUGUUGGUCAACGUCAAAGGAAGAGAUAUUGUGCUUUCUCUUUGUAAACAGAUCGAUCGGGUCUUGAAAGGUUCAUGUAAAACGUAUAGGCGGGUGACACAUUAGGUGGGACCCAAUGCCUGUAAUACUUCCACAGUUAUUAAAAAAUUGU